rnacentral:rRNA from 1 species
UGCAGUCGAGCGGUAACAGGAAUUAGCUUGCUAAUUUGCUGACGAGCGGCGGACGGGUGAGUAAUGCCUGGGAAUAUGCCUUAGUGUGGGGGAUAACUAUUGGAAACGAUAGCUAAUACCGCAUAACGUCUUCGGACCAAAGAGGGGGACCUUCGGGCCUCUCGCGCUAAGAUUAGCCCAGGUGGGAUUAGCUAGUUGGUGAGGUAAAGGCUCACCAAGGCAACGAUCCCUAGCUGGUCUGAGAGGAUGACCAGCCACACUGGAACUGAGACACGGUCCAGACUCCUACGGGAGGCAGCAGUGGGGAAUAUUGCACAAUGGGGGGAACCCUGAUGCAGCCAUGCCGCGUGUAUGAAGAAGGCCUUCGGGUUGUAAAGUACUUUCAGUCGUGAGGAAGGUGUUGCAGUUAAUAGCUGCAGCAUUUGACGUUAGCGACAGAAGAAGCACCGGCUAACUCCGUGCCAGCAGCCGCGGUAAUACGGAGGGUGCGAGCGUUAAUCGGAAUUACUGGGCGUAAAGCGCAUGCAGGCGGUCUGUUAAGCAAGAUGUGAAAGCCCGGGGCUCAACCUCGGAACCGCAUUUUGAACUGGCAGACUAGAGUCUUGUAGAGGGGGGUAGAAUUUCAGGUGUAGCGGUGAAAUGCGUAGAGAUCUGAAGGAAUACCGGUGGCGAAGGCGGCCCCCUGGACAAAGACUGACGCUCAGAUGCGAAAGCGUGGGGAGCAAACAGGAUUAGAUACCCUGGUAGUCCACGCCGUAAACGAUGUCUACUUGAAGGUUGUGCAGUCGAGCCG